AGCAAAUAUUGUUACGACCUGACGCAAGAAGCCGGUAAAAAAACUAAAAGGAUUUCUUAUUUCAUGUAACCAAUAAAAAAAUUUCGGUCUACAAAGUGUAAUUAUUAUGACCGGUAAAACAGGACGGUCCGGCAUCACCUUAAGACACGCUGCUUGAGAAAAGAUGAAACACUAAAGAAGCAAGGAGAAAAUAUUGAGACCUCUGUAUAAUUUGUCACUAGUAACCUCUUUAUCCUCUAAUUUAAUGGAAAAGGUGAAUUAAUGUGAACUAUCUCUUUCAGAAUAUUUUAGAGAAAGAAAAGCUAGAUUCGGUGGAGAACAGUAGAGCGACAAAAUAUUUCAGAAUAAAGUUAAGAAUAUUAAAUGUGAUACUUGGUGUUAUAUAAAAA